GUUGCUUUCAGGGAGCCUCCCUGCUUUUGAGAGCUGACCAUGGCCUGGGCUCUGUUCUUCUUGGCCCUUCUCAAUUACUGUUCAGGUGUCACUUCACAAGCAGCACUGACUCAGCCGGCCUCCCAGUCUGUAUCUCUGGGCCAAACCGCUAAACUCUCCUGCUCUCAAAGUAGUGGUGGCAGCUGGAACAGCUACUUUGGCUGGUAUCAACAGAAACCUGGACAGGCUCCUCGGUUCGUGCUUGCUGGUACCAGCACCAGGGGAGAAGGGAUCCCAGAUCGGUUCACUGGUUCUGCCUCUGGGAACCCUGGCUAUUUAACCAUCUCCAACACCCAGGCUGAAGAUGAGGCAGAUUAUUACUGUCUUGACUGGUAUUACACUGAUAGCAUGUUCCACAGUGAUACACCUGAAGACAGGGCACUUUAUUACUGUUGUGUUUGGGAGAGCAGCAAUAGUUUGUUCCAAGGUGGUACAGGCUUGGAAAAGUUACUUUUUUGA